GUUUUAUCUUCCUCUCUUUAAAGCCUUUUCAGCGGUAUCCAUUUCUUCUAAGAUUCUCACCUUUCUCUUCGCCGGAAUCGGAGUAGUCGGCCCGAAACUAACAUAAUGGCCCGAAACAGCGUUGAGUGCCGAAUAUAUAUCACGAAACGAAGCCCGACCCAACAAAGCUUUCUCUCUUCUAUACUUUGCAACCCAGUAAUUCGACGCUUCUCUUAACUCAGCAACUGAAUCAGCUAUAUUCGGAUCUCCUUUAUCCAUAUUCAACGUAGAUCUCACUUUCUGUAUCACUUCCGAUGCUUCCUUCACGUAUUCCUCGUCGGUAGCUGCGAAUGCUGACGUGGCGGGAAGGAGAAGGGAUGGAGAUAGGAUUCCGGCGGACAGAGAGAGGAAUUCGCGGCGGCGGAGGGUGGUGGUGGUGGUGGUUACGGAGGUGAUGAGUUUUGAUCGGAUUGGGGUGAUGAGGGAUUUGGGGGUUGAUGUAGAUGGGGUAAUUAGGGUUGGAGAAGCCAUUGAUUUGUGUUUUUUGAAAAGAUUUGGGGAAAAAGAGAGUGUUGUAGUUUUGGUGAUGAGAGAGAUUA
rnacentral:misc_RNA from 1 species